rnacentral:rRNA from 1 species
AAGUGGAGCAAUCCAUGAGUAAAGUGGCGCACGGGUGAGUAACACGUGACUAACCUACCCUCGAGUGGGGAAUAACCUCGGGAAACCGGGGCUAAUACCGCAUAACAUCUACGGAUCAAAUGCGUAAGCAGCUUGAGGAGGGGGUCGCGGCUGAUUAGCUAGUUGGCGGGGUAAUGGCCCACCAAGGCAAUGAUCAGUAGCCGGCCUGAGAGGGCGCACGGCCACACUGGAACUGAAACACGGUCCAGACUCCUACGGGAGGCAGCAGUGGGGAAUUUUGCGCAAUGGGGGAAACCCUGACGCAGCAACGCCGCGUGGAGGAUGAAGCCCCUUGGG